ensembl:snoRNA Gm24071 small nucleolar RNA SNORA17
ACUGACCUGAGAAGCAUUGCAGGCGUGGCUUCUGUGUGUCAUGGGUGUCAGGAGGUGGCAGAGAAGAGAGAGGCUAUGUCUACUCCCGGUGUUCUGACCUAUGAAUAUAUGAAUGGUUAGCAACCUAACCCU